CCCCCGGCGCUGCGGAGCGCGCCCGAGCGCUGGUGCACGGCAGCGGAGCCGGAGGGAGCGGGCGCGCGCGCUGCGAGGCUACCCCGUCUGGAUUGCGGCCUUGACCAGGAUGGGUGCUCGACACUUAGUUGAAGAACUGUUACUGACCAUCAAGACUGCAAUUUGGGACAUUCAGCUUUGACUGUCUCAACUGCUGGCCCACCCCCAAGGAAUAAUGAUUUUUCUACACACUGGCCUGCUGUGGUGGGGACAGCAUGACAGGCAGGGGCUGAAGCAGGACUGAUUGGGCACAUGUCAUGGAGGAGACACCCAAUUUAAGAGCAGGGUUCCGCUGUUUGAAAGGGUGGUUAACCAUUUCCACCAACACAGACACACACACAACCCCAAGAGACUGGCAGGAGGAACUCCAUCCAGCUGACAAAUCUCAGAUUCACAGAAGGGGAUCUUCCAGCUCUGCUGGACUCCGGCAGCCAUCCUGGCCUCUUGGGGAGAGGACCCUGAACCAGUGAGGCUAACCUGCAACAUCAAAUGCAUAGGGACAUUGGGCACAGAAAGCAGCUUCUGCCAGAAAGUUGCUGCAGUUCCACCUUUUCCCACCAGAUGGUGCUAUGGUGUUAGAACAGAGCAGCAGCUCCCAGCCAGCUAGGGAAGAGAAAGAGCCUGCCUUCUUCAUACUGCCUGUCGGGCCAGGUCAGGAGAUAGUGGCUAUAGGGAGACAGGGAGCAUGUGACUGAUAGAGGGUCAGAAAGGGGCUCCUAAGGGCUAGUGGGGUAGGACAGACUGGGGCAGGG